GUAGGGAAUAUUGGUCAAUGGAGGCAACUCUGAACCAGCCAUGCCGCGUGCAGGAUGACGGCCCUCUGGGUUGUAAACUGCUUUUAUACGGGAAGAAAAAAUGCUACGUGUAGCACAUUGACGGUACCGUAAGAAUAAGGAUCGGCUAACUCCGUGCCAGCAGCCGCGGUAAUACGGAGGAUCCAAGCGUUGUCCGGAUUUAUUGGGUUUAAAGGGUGCGUAGGCGGAUCUUUAAGUCAGUGGUGAAAGCCUGCAGCUCAACUGUAGAACAGCCAUUGAAACUGAAGAUCUUGAAUUAGGUUAAAGUAGGCGGAAUGUAUCAUGUAGCGGUGAAAUGCUUAGAUAUGAUACAGAACACCGAUAGCGAAGGCAGCUUGCUGAACCUAUAUUGACGCUGAGGCACGAAAGCGUGGGGAGCGAACAGGAUUAGAAACCCCUGUAGUCC
rnacentral:rRNA from 1 species